ACGCUGGCGGCGUGCUUAACACAUGCAAGUCGAACGGAAAGGCCCUGCUUUUGUGGGGUGCUCGAGUGGCGAACGGGUGAGCAACACGUGAGUAACCUGCCCUUGACUUUGGGAUAACUUCAGGAAACUGGGGCUAAUACCGGAUAGGAGCUCCUGCUGCAUGGUGGGGGUUGGAAAGUUUCGGCGGUUGGGGAUGGACUCGCGGCUUAUCAGCUUGUUGGUGGGGUAGUGGCUUACCAAGGCUUUGACGGGUAGCCGGCCUGAGAGGGUGACCGGCCACAUUGGGACUGAGAUACGGCCCAGACUCCUACGGGAGGCAGCAGUGGGGAAUAUUGCACAAUGGGCGGAAGCCUGAUGCAGCAACGCCGCGUGCGGGAUGACGGCCUUCGGGUUGUAAACCGCUUUCGCCUGUGACGAAGCGUGAGUGACGGUAAUGGGUAAAGAGGCACCGGCUAACUACGUG
rnacentral:rRNA from 1 species